CGGUCUGUUGUAGGGCGAGCCAGUUUUCGCGCAUCCCUCGUCAACCCUCAAGAAGCCUACUCACUACAAACUAACAACGGUGUAUAAAACACACAACACACUAGCAUACAUACGAGUACCGUGGGACAGCGGGUAUGACACACUUCAGUGUCUGUAUUGAUAACGUGAUAGUCCACCGUUGCACUGAAAAAUAGUUUUAAUAAUUGUAAAACGCAAUUAACGUUAAUUAUCGAUCGAGCAUAUUCGUGGAAAUUAAUUAAUAAGUACUAGUGUAAUCGGUGGUGUAAUUUAUAGAUAGACACAUCCAUUGUAUCUCUGUUGCCUUGAAAGCUCCGACAGAACUCAACAAAAUCAAUUGAUUAAAGAGCUGCAUUAAAACCAACAAAUGCCAAUGUGUAAAUAGUAAAAAUCAAUGUGAGACAUUAAAUGUUAACGUUUGUUUGAGGUAAAAAAGUUAUAAGGGUGGCGCUGGAAUAUUAUUUCACACCUUAACCGAAAAAGUUAAUUAUAACUCACUAAUAAUUAUUUAUAAUUCUAAUUAUAUUCACAAUCAUAAUCCACAAGUACAAGCUGAGAGAUCUUCAACAAACGCCAGUAAAUACUGCUUUGCAGUGAUAUAUAUGUCAUGUGUGGAUUUUUAUAUAUUUUUCCGCGACAUGAGUGUUGUCAUUAAAGUGAAGCUACUCGAGCUAACACGACAAGAUGAGUUGAAUUCACAAAAGCUCACAAAGCAAAGGUCACUUUAUAAAAGCUUUAUGAAUCGCUUGUAAGAUUUUUUUCUCUGGUUGAUUAUUAAUUGAUAUUAUAUUUAAGUGCUGUGAAAAUAUGAAUUUGACUUUUGGAAAUUUUAGGUAUUAUUUUCGUUUGGAGAACAGUUGAUAAUUCUUGAACCAUUAUUUGGAUAUGCAUAUGUGAGGUGCAUGUAUAUCGGGUAAUAGUAAUGGCGAAACACCUGUUUCAGUACGCCAGUGACCUCUUUUCACAAGAAACAAACUUGGAAUUUAAUUACAAGAAAUAUUAUUUUUAUUGUCGGCUAUCAUGAUAUGGAAUUAUAUUUUAUUAUCGGGGUUAGCUCGAAAAACUUUAAAUAAUGCGAAAUAAAUCUGGAUCGAACAAGCCUCAGUGAUCAUGAGGGAUGCUAAUAGUGAUGAAAUAAAUUUACAUGUUGAUAAUUAUGAUAAUAAAAAUAAUAAUUAUGGUGAAGACAAUGACUAUUGCUGGUGGUGCUGGAUAACUUAUUAUUUGCAGUAUUUUAAAUCCAUCCUACUGAACAACGAUACUGUCGAUUACAAGCACGGCUCUUUAAUACGCUGUGCAGACCAAAAUCACUUAUUGAUUUGUAAUUAUAAUUAUAAUAAUAGUAGUAAUAGUAAUAAUUAUUCGAGUGAUAAGUUUUACCGUAAAUGGAAUCGCUGGAGGCGUCAAAGUGAAUUUGUUACUUUAUAUGAUAAUUACGAUGACAGUGACAAUACCCAAGGAUCUAAUUUAGUGACUUUAGAAUUCGGAGUUAGGUUAAAUUGUACGCUGCAUUGGGCACUCGGUGGCGGAUGACUCGGGCAGGAGCACCUUUUUCCGUAGAAUUAGACCUUUUUUGGAGGUUCGGUCAUGACCAAAGUGGAAACGAUGAUGGUAAUGAUAAUGAUAAUGAUGAUGAAGAUGAUAAUGAUGAUGAUGGUGGCACUGUGAGGAGGCUUUGUGCUUUGGGGCAUUCAUUGGUAACGAUUACAGUGACUCGGAAAAAUCGGUGCGCUUGUAGUAGUUGUUGUUUCUGUGGGUUUAUGUUCGGUUUCUGUUCACCGGGAUUCCCAGUGUAGGGAUUGUAGUGAUGGCGGACUUACCUGAUAUGUCACACCUCACUCCCGAGGAGAGGCGCAUCAUUGAAGAGGUUAUGAUGCGACAGAAGCAGGAAGAGGAUCGGGAGAAUGAAAUCAUGAGACGAAAGCAAGACGAAGUGCAAAUUCUAGAAGAAACGAUACGUGCCCGAUCUGAAAAACACAAGAAAGCAGGCAUUGAGCUGGACGCGACAUGUGACAUAUGCAUGAAGACUAAGUUUGCGGAUGGUGUUGGUCACAUCUGCAACUACUGCAACAUCCGGUGUUGUGCGCGUUGUGGUGGCAAAGUCACGCUUAGAUCUAACAAGGUGAUAUGGGUGUGCAUAGUGUGUCGUAAAAAGCAAGAACUUCUGUCAAAAACCGGGCAGUGGAUGGUGAAAACCGGGCUGGGGGCCGCGGACCAGGCGAUGAUGAGAAGGAUGCAGGAGGACUUGCAGAAUGAAGGACCACCUGGGCGUACAGAGUUGACUCAAGACAAACGCCCGAAACUAGAACGCGCCCACAGCGCCGCUGAAAAGGAAAACCUUCCAUUGUUGCAACGUAGCGGAAGUGCACUUAGACGGCAGUAUUCCCAACAAGAACAGAUUCCAAAUCGUCGAUUGUCAACAAGUGACAGCGGCGUAGAAAUGUCAGUAUCACCUCACUCGCGUAGUCUGCCAACACCUCACGUGGUCGUGGGGUCAUACCCUCAACAAACACCUCGUCACCCAGCGGCCUUUCCCGAAGACGACCCGAACAUCUACCGAGGGGAGUUGGACGGUUUGAUGAAACAGCACGCCCAAAUGUAUCAACGAUCUCGCCAAAUUUAUCAGGAGCAGAAUUCAAACAUGCCGAUGACUUACGGUCACUCGGGUGUUGACAACUCGCGAGUGCAUCAAUCACAGCAGCAUCAAAUUCACCAGGUACAAGGGAAACAUCUGUCGCAAGCAAUCCCACCAACUGGUCAAAAUACCGGGCAAUUACACCAGCAGCGCAGUUUCAGCAGCAGUGAGGAGGAACGAAGCACACCUGAGUGUGCAAGCGAUGAACCUGAUGAGUCGGAAAAGGGGAAGGGGUACUAUCAUCAUGUGGGAGGCUCAGCUUCGAUACCCGGUGGCUCUCGCAGACUUGGCCCUCACAAUGGACAUCAUGUCACCGGAUCUGGCACGAUAACCACCGAAUUUAAUGGUCACCAUCCACCGCGAGAGCCCCGAAAAGAAGAAAACACCCUUGUAAGACGGAGCUUCCGGAGAAGUGGGGAUGAAUGGCGCGCCGACAGUCGGAGGUUCACUGAGAGAAGGGGGAAAAAGACAGUGCGGUUUGACGGUGGGACCAAUGUUGCCGGCGAACAAGAGGAUUGGUCUUGGGAGGCUGACCGACAGGGUAGUCAAGAUAGCGCCACCAAAGAUUCCGGUAUAGACACCUCGAGUACCUUCACGAGCAGUGAAGACAGCAACCGAGGUGACUUACCCAAGCAAUCUCAGGCGAGCAGCGACGGCCAGAAAAUAAUAGUCCACAUGAUUCUCCGUAAAUCCGCUGGACCUGGAAGUAUAUUGGGCCUUAAAGUUGCCGGCGGACAAUUAUUGGAUGACGGUAGAAUAGGUGCUGUGAUUGAAAAAGUCAAAGAGGGCACACCCGCGGCUGUUGAUGGUCAAUUGAGACCAGGGGACGAAGUGAUCGAUUGGAACGGGCACUGCCUGCAAGGGAAAAGUUCCCAAGAAGUAGCGAACAUAAUCGCGGAGUCGCGGGACGAAAAUCAAGUGGAACUAAUUGUCGGGAAAAACCACCCCGACGCAACAAAUAAUUCAAUAACCUGUAGUAAUUUACCCUCUGCAACAACGACGUCAAUGGUACCACAGAGACGCAUCGCUGCGCAAGCCCAGUGGCGGCAAACCCACGAAACCAUGCCUAUUUUGCAGCAGCCUCAUCACAGAGGUCUUAAGAAAUGUAUAUUAUGGGAAUUAUACGAUGUGAGGAGAGAAAAACCAUCAGUGCUAGUAACAUCACCGGGAUCACCGGAUCUACACGGGCAGAGUCGUAACAGACAUCCCCGUUAUCCAACGACAAUAGCGAAUGUUGGUGGCAAGUUACAAGUUAAGUUAGAUUUCAAUCCAGCGUGUAACAGACUGAGUGUUACCGUUUUUCGUGCUACUGAAUUAACGCCGAGGAGUAAUGGGCAACCACGAAAUCCUUACGCCAAAGUUUAUCUUCUUCCUGACAGAAACGAAAUGUCUAAGAGACGAACGAAAACCUUGGCAAACACAAACGACCCCAAGUGGAACGAAACAUUCGACUACAACAUAAGAAAGUCGGAACUGAAACGCAAGUGGUUAGAGGUGUCAGUGUGGGAUUUUACAAUUCACGAGGCCAAUGACUUUUUAGGAGAGGCCAUUUUAGAGCUCAACAAUUUAAACGAAAAAUCACCGUGGCUGUGGCAGAAUUUGGUACCGCAUGAAGAACGUCGACCAAUUGGACAAUAUCACGAGCCAUACGAUGACAUAGCGAUAACUCCAGUUGAUUACCAUCUUAGUCCACCCUCGACGGUAUCCCGUCUGAGUGAUUCGGAUACGUCGGAGUACGACAUCACCGAUUGCGACAUACCACGGGAUCAGAGACGAACCGCAGAUGGUGCCAGCAUCAGCAGCCUCGGCAGUUCAUCUAGGUUUCAUAAUAUGCCGUCAAAUUAUAAGCGCCACUAUUCUAGCCCGCCACCGGAGAGAGAGUAUGGAAGUCUGGACAAUGAACACCGCAGUCGGCGGGACAUGUCGUCGACGGGUAGUAAGAGAGCUGCAUUGAUGAUUUCACGCGACCAGCCAGUCUCUAUAUCUGGCUAUCCACAAUGGAGAAAAGACGAACCAACAGCCAGAAGUAUGAUAGGUCAUAGGUCUCACAGUGCAGCGCCUAUGGACUCGCCUUACCUGCGUUAUCGAGGAAGAUCACAAAGUCCGACCGGCCAUCGUUCGUUAUCGCCGCCUGAUCACAGAUCGAUACCUUACACCCACGGAUACAUGCCUACAAGAUUUGGGUCGAGAUCAGCGACCGCAACGCCAACGGGAUCACCUAAAAAACGGCAGUUACCACAAACGCCGUUGUUAAAAGAACGGAUGAUGACGCAGGAUGAUGAAAGACAUCGAUUAAUGAGAUAUCCACACAGACUUGUUCAUACUACUUAUCGAAGCACGGGGAUAGGAGGCUGGGAAAGACAUUACAGCGGACGAUCAGACUCGGAUCUGCUGUCAUCAAUAGGUCACGAUCCACCAUCUCUACCCCACGCCCACCGACUCCACCACAGAACACGUCGCGGGCACCUAAGCCCCGACAAAGACGUCCUCGGGGACUUCGGGGACUCCGACAUGGAGAGCAUUAUUUCUGUCGCGAGUAGCGCUUUUAGCACUCAGUCAGAACGACCCCGCGGAUCCCGGGCAUUGAUACCGACAGUUAAAAACAUAUUGGUACCCAGUGUCAUAUCCCAUUUGCCUUUACCACCCUUAUUUAUUAGGCGCACUAGGCGUAAGCACAAAAUAAAGCAACCUAUCAGCAACAUAAUCACUACAACUAAUAAUAACAACAACAAUAGCAUCACCAACAAAAACAAAGCUAGUAAUAACAAUCUUAACAAUAAAAACAACCGCAUUAGCAUAAGUAAAGAAUGUAAUCAUUAUCAUCCAAUUAGUUAUAGUAUUAAGACCUGGAAACCCCCAUCAAAUAAGUAUCAUAAUCCCGCCACAUUCAUAUCUGAUACCACCACAGUAAAACCUAAAACCACGACCAAUACCUCAACCCUAACCCAAAAUCAUCUCCUCGUACGGAGCAAAUCCGCAGUUGUACGCUCGAUGCACAGAAAACCGCGUGUGCCUAUCGUGAGAUCGCAGACUGUCGACGACAACCUAUUCCGGUACAAUAUCAGCCCCAGCAACGCUACCAGCAGCACCAGUAACUUUAUCAAAGACUUUUGCAUCGAAAAGCCUUCUAAUUCCGCCGAUAACAUCUGCUGCUACUAUGAUUACGAUAGUGGGGCCAGAAAUCGGCCCUACUUUCGUUACACCUCCAAGUAUCCGAACCACGAUGACUUCUUCGUCGAUCUAAGAGGCAGAUCCAAAGUAACUCAAGUGCCUAGGCGUGCCAAAAGUGUCGAAUACGAGUCAGUCUCCAGCAACAUCUUCAGCGACGACAGCCUUAGAACCGCUCGACGGAAAGUAAAGCGAAAUCUAACUGUCACUGGAGACAAACUGCCGUACAUGAACGACCAGAGCAAGUCUUACUACGAUUCAACUGGCGACAGCUCCAAGGCCUCUGAAAGUGUCGUUGAUUCUGAUCAAGACUUCAACAACGAUUUACGCGUAAGAUAUAACGCGCGAUACACGUCCGAUCUCUAUUCGGUGUACCUAGACGAGCACAAUGAUGACAAUUUGGAUAAUGAUCACCAAAUUGACAGUAUCAUCGACGCCGUAGAAGCUAGCAGUGAGUACGAAAGACACUUGUACAAAAGACGCCUGGAUAGCCAGUUGAGUCGAGCUAAAUCCGAUGACAAUCAUUACGGGAUUGACAAUGAGCACAUUUACUGCAGCAUUGACAGCAAUCCCGAGUGUCAUUACGCAAGCGUUAAUGAUUAUGAUAGUAGUAGAUUAGGAACUAAAGUGCCAAAUAAUUAUUGUGAUAAGUUAGUUACUAAUGAUGAGUAUUCUCGUGAUAGUUCUGAUGAUCGGUUGCGUCCAGCCAGAAGAACCAAAAGCACUGAUUCGUAUUUAGAAGAUAGUUAUGAUUAUCAUCAUGGUAGCUACGAAGACUGCCGUGGUAGAUCGCGUAGUUUUGCCGGAAGAACCGAAAGGGAGCCCUUUAUUUCCUUCGAAGCUGCUUAUGAGGAAUUCGCCCCUCAUGAGCGGAAGAAUGUUAAAGUUUUGGAGAAAGCGGAGUCCUCACCCACUCUGCAUGAAGAUGACCAGUCGAUGGCCGAGUGGGAAGUCUCCCAGUCGAGGAGAUUGUCCAGAAGGAGGCGUAACAGCAGUUGUCCAGAAGCUCGCGAUAUCAGGAACCUUGAAAGUCCUUUGACCGAGGCGGUUAGCAUGAACUUCUUCAUGGGUUCGGAUGAUGACUUUGGAUCGACGGAGACAGUUGUGGCUCCGGAUUAUCGGAAGGACUCGAGAAAGGAAGGGAGUUCUGGAGGAAAGAUCAGGAGAAAUGACGAUGAUCGUCAUCGUGAAGAGUAUUUCAGAGGUCCUGUUAGGACUGAUCGCUCCGGGUCGUACCCUGGACCAGCUAGACGUGGGUUUGAUGAUGAGCUUGAGUCCUCGAGGAACCGCAAGACCAGUUGUCCAGAGUGCAGGGACUUGUGGCGCGAGCAUCGGUACACUGUCGCCUAUCCAGAUGGUAGGAAAUCCUCUCGCGGUUCUGCUGAUGGUGAUUGGUCAAGGGAGUUCUGUCCAGACUGCCCCCCAGAACGGGCGAAGAUGCCCCGGGAAGGAGCAAGAGAUCUUGGGAAGAGCAAGAAGAGCGAUAGGCGAUUGGCUGGUGAUGAACGCGAACAAAGUGGCAGCAAAAGGAAUGUCGCGAUAAGUGACACGCUCGAGUACUACGAGUACUCGAUGGAAAGCGAGAGCCAGUGCAGCGAAAAUUGCGGAUUUGGCCCGUAUGACUUAUCACUUAGGCCCCGAAACCGAGCACCCCGCCCCGGUAACGCUAAUUCAAAUAUCUUUGAUUCCCAAACCGCUACCUCCGACACUGAUAAAAAUCACCCACGGGUCAACGAUCGUCGUUAUGAUACCGUUCCACGACGCAAACGCCGUGAUUCGUCCGUUAUCAAUGCCAAUGAUGCUGCCAAUGAUGACACUGGUACGUCCUUGAAAUCUGGUUAUAAAUUGACUGACCAUCUCUCCAAAUCGUCCGUUGAUUCCGUCCGAAUCAAUUCCAAUGAUCGUACUGCAAAUUCUGAUAAUCUUCCACGAAAACGCAGUGGUGAUUACAACAGUCCUGGUGGCUCCUACGAGAAGAACACCAGGCAUCAGGUCACCGGUAAUGGCCACAAUGGGCAUCCCAAGAGAGGACAGUUCAGUAGGAGUCUCAGUAAUGCUGACGGACCGCCUGAUGAAAAAGUUGCUGACGGAAGUUUGAGUGACACCGCGGUGAGUCUCCACGUGGAAGAAGCAGCCCGCAGAGCAAGGAAAAGUUCUCCAGGUAGCAAAAGCGGAAGCGGGAGCAGCAGCGGCGGCGGAAGUGCCGUGCAAUACCAAGCCGGCUUAGGAAAAAAGAGUAAUAGCACUAGCCAGCUCUCCGCGACAGAGUGCAUCAGCGUGGUCGGAUCCAACUUGGACUCAAGGAGCUCUGGUAUUGUUACCCGUAAGCGGAACAGCACCCCCAGCAGCUUUCAGAGGUCCCAGGAGGUCGUGCCGAUGUACCAAAGGCUUGGUGCCACCAAACAACCGGGUUCGGUGGCCAGCGACACCGCCGGAUCCCUCAACUCGAUCUCGAGUUCUGAAGCAAGUUCUUGGUCUCCGUGUUUGAGAUCGACGGGCGAAGGAGGGCAACUCAGUGAAUUUAUCGACGGCCUUGGACCGGGUCAAUUAGUUGGCAGACAAGUACUCGGAGCAUCUUCACUUGGUGACAUACAGUUGGCCCUGAAUUAUACCAAGGGCUAUUUAGAAGUCGAAGUUGUUAGGGCAAGAGAUCUCCAGCCGAAACCAGGCAGUAAAGUACUUCCAGCUCCUUAUGUUAAAGUUUACUUGGUGAACGGUAAAAAAUGUAUAGCCAAAGCGAAAACGACCACAGCGAGGAAAACAUUAGAGCCUUUUUAUCAGCAGCCUCUAGCUUUUAGAGAAAAUUUCCAAGGUUGCAUUUUGCAGGUGACAGUGUGGGGUGACUACGGUCGCUUAGAAGGUAGAAAAGUAUUCAUGGGCGUCGCACAGAUAAUGCUAGACGAUCUGAAUCUCAAUGAAAUGGUGUUCGGAUGGUACAAACUCUUCGGCACCACGUCCCUGGUCAGUGGUCCUCCAUCAGUAGUUUUGUCCCGUCGAUCUUCGGCCAACUCUUUGGAUUCACUAAAACUCUAAUUAACAUAUAAUACUGAAUAAAUUGACACAUACCACACAACAAUUACACUACCAACUAUCAUAAAACUUCCAAACUUAAUAUAAUAAUAGACGUUUUUUAUCAAAGAUAAUUUUAAAAAAAGAAAUCUAAUAUCAGUAAAUAUAUGAAUGAAGCUUUAUACAAAUGUCACGUUAAUGUUUUAAAAUAAUUAAACAAAUAUAUAUAAAAAUAUAAAUAUAUAUUUGCCUUAGGCUGCUUGAUAACUAAACUGUUGAAUGUUGAAUUAAAAUUUAAUUUUUAAUAUUGAAGUUAUUAAUUAAAAUAAUUAAAAAGUUGAUAGAAGAGGGCGGCUCUGAAUACGGUUAAGUGAAACUAUUUUGUAGUAAAUCAUUUUUAAAUUGUAUCACUGAAUGCGUUUGAGGUUGACGAAUUUUAUUGAUACGUUAAUUAUUUAUUUAUUUAUUGUAUAUUAUUAACAUAAUACUUCAUUAGAAUAUAAAUAUAUAUUUUUUAUUUAUAAACAAGUUCAACACUAAAGCACAUCACAUAUCAUGUCAGAUACUAAUGUCGACUAGAACAACUAGUCUUUUAAUAAAUAAUGUAGACGUAGCGGCCAUGUAUCAGGAUGAACGCCAGAUCUAGCUUUAGUGAAAUCAAUGGAACUCGAGUGUACGUCACAUCGAUAUAAACGCAAAUAUGGUGUACUCAACAAUUCCAUCUAUAAAUUAAAUUACACAGGAAUAAAUAAAUAAUUAAAACUGAUAAAAUAGACUUAAUAAAGUUAAGUGAGUGAUUUAUUAAUUUAUAAGUGACUAGUGCGCUAAAAAGGCAUUUAAUCAUAAUAUAUUAAUAUUAUCAAUCGGUUAUCACAAAAGUGACUAAAAUAUAAUAAUAAUAAUAAUAAAAUUAAAGCGUAAAGUUUUUUUUUUAUUGCGACAGCUCGCGAAAUACAGAAUUAUUAUUAAGUGUAUACUUAAUUGGUAUAUUGUUAGAAAAAUUAAUAAUAAUAAUAAUGAAAUCGAAGAUAAAUCCAUUAACGAAUUAUCAACAAAUGAGUAAUAGAUGUAAUUGUAAAUAAUAAUUAUUAAAUAUUUAAAAUUAAAAUGUCCAACAGAAGUUUUCAAUUCUCAAAUAAAAACUUAACUAUAAUAAAGAUAAAUUAGCUUGAAAUAAUUAUAAUAAAAUGUUAGUAAUUAAUUGAAUAAUUGAAAAUUUUUAUAUUUUAAAAAUUAAUCUUUUUUUAAUAAAUUUGCUGGGUGAUUGAAUAAGAAUAUCAAUUCAAUUAGUGUUAUCUAAUCAAAUCAUAAUAAUUUUAGUAAGUCAUCUUUUUUUUUGUGUAUCUAUUGUAAAUAAUUUUACGAACUUAUGUUAUGAAUUUGUGUGGACACUAAUUGUGUGGAAUAUUGGAAUAUUUAGGUGAUAAUUAUGAUUGAUGAUAUUUACGAGUUUUGAGAAAGAUUAUGAUGAUUUAGAAGG